rnacentral:rRNA from 1 species
UGGAUCCAGACUUUGAUUAUGGCUCAGGAUGAACGCUAGCUACAGGCUUAACACAUGCAAGUCGAGGGGAAACGACAUCGAAAGCUUGCUUUUGAUGGGCGUCGACCGGCGCACGGGUGAGUAACGCGUAUCCAACCUGCCCACCACUUGGGGAUAACCUUGCGAAAGUAAGACUAAUACCCAAUGAUAUCUCUAGAAGACAUCUGAAAGAGAUUAAAGAUUUAUCGGUGAUGGAUGGGGAUGCGUCUGAUUAGCUUGUUGGCGGGGUAACGGCCCACCAAGGCAACGAUCAGUAGGGGUUCUGAGAGGAAGGUCCCCCACAUUGGAACUGAGACACGGUCCAAACUCCUACGGGAGGCAGCAGUGAGGAAUAUUGGUCAAUGGACGAGAGUCUGAACCAGCCAAGUAGCGUGCAGGAUGACGGCCCUAUGGGUUGUAAACUGCUUUUAUAAGGGAAUAAAGUGAGUCUCGUGAGACUUUUUGCAUGUACCUUAUGAAUAAGGACCGGCUAAUUCCGUGCCAGCAGCCGCGGUAAUACGGAAGGUCCGGGCGUUAUCCGGAUUUAUUGGGUUUAAAGGGAGCGUAGGCCGGAGAUUAAGCGUGUUGUGAAAUGUAGACGCUCAACGUCUGCACUGCAGCGCGAACUGGUUUCCUUGAGUACGCACAAAGUGGGCGGAAUUCGUGGUGUAGCGGUGAAAUGCUUAGAUAUCACGAAGAACUCCGAUUGCGAUGGCAGCUCACUGGAGCGCAACUGACGCUGAAGCUCGAAAGUGCGGGUAUCGAACAGGAUUAGAUACCCUGGUAGUCCGCACGGUAAACGAUGGAUGCCCGCUGUUGGUCUGAAUAGGUCAGCGGCCAAGCGAAAGCAUUAAGCAUCCCACCUGGGGAGUACGCCGGCAACGGUGCAACUCAAAUGAAUUGACGGA